ACUUGGCCUCAGGCCUACAUGAUGGUGUUUGGUUGGGCUCAGUGCAACCAAGGCACCUCAAUAAGAUGAUGUCAUAAGGACUUCAGCAUGAACCUGUGGAACUUCAGAACUAGCUGUCAGUCCCACAUCAUGCUUUCUGUGACCUGUAUAUAGCAGUGUUGUGGUUUCACAUGUGAUGAGGGGGAAGAAGAGGGAGAAGUCCUCCCUGGCCUCUUCUACCCUUCCGUUCCCUCUUUGCAGAGAAGAAAAACAAAAACAGCCCAAUUAAGAAAAGGAGAGAUAACAAGUUUACUAGAAAUUACAAAAGAUUAUAAGAUAAUGAUAUAAAAAAGGAAUUACAGUGUAUUACUCUUGGAGAGCCAAAAUUGAGACUUCUAGAAGCGCAGGAUGAAUGAAUUCAGCACCACAGUGCACUAUGUUUCAGCACCCAACAGCUAAUCAUAUGAUGUCAUGAUUAGGGAUGCUGAUAAAACCAGGACAAGUUGGAAAUGUGUAGUCUACAGAAAUAGCCACUGCAGUGUUGACUUUGGCAAAGAUGAGAAGACCAGGUGUGUGCCACCUGCAGCAGUAUUUCUAGCUACUUGGGAGCAAACAGCAUUUAGUACUGGCCAAGGUUGUGCUGUUAGAUCUGUGGGUGAAAACUUGAAACUGUGGCUUUAAUGUUUUAGUACUGGAACCACAUGCCAAUAAAGCGCUCUUGUCUUGUUCUGGUGA